rnacentral:lncRNA from 1 species
AAAAGUUUCGUCAGUAGAAUAAGAAACAGAUAGAUAUGAGAUAUAUCCUCUUGGUUGUGGUUGUCCUUGUGGUGCUUGUAGACCAGGGGAAUGGUCUCUCCUGUAUUCCAUGUGCCCAAACGAAAUGUGCGGCGCCCAGGGGAUGCAGAAGAAAGAACUACGUAAAAGACCUCUGCAAUUGCUGUGAUGUAUGUCCCACUAAAUUCGGGCAACCUUGCUCUGGACUGAAACCAAAAUGCACAAAGGACUUGUGGUGUAUCAAGAUAGAUGGGGAUUCCGCCGAGGCCAAGAAGAACUUAGUCUGGAGUGAUCGAUUCGAGGGCGUGUGUGGAAGAAUUAAAAUCGAAAGAAAGGAAGGACCUAAAUCUUAGAGUUGUAUCCAGUUGUUGGCCAACAUGAAGGGUUUACCUCGCUUGUAAACAACACACUACAAAUUAAAUGUUGAGCAAAACUAUUCAGUAAACUAUUUCAAAAUCU